GAUGAACGCUGGCGGCGCGCCUAACACAUGCAAGUCGAACGAUUAAAGCACCUUCGGGUGUGUAUAAAGUGGCGAACGGCUGAGUAACACGUGGGCAACCUGCCCCUCUCAUUGGGAUAGCCACGGGAAACCGUGGAUAAUACCGAAUACUUCGAGUCUCCCGCAUGGAAGACUCGAGAAAGCUCCGGCGGAGAGGGAUGGGCCCGCGGCCUGUUAGCUUGUUGGUGGGGUAACGGCCUACCAAGGCAAUGAUGGGUAGCUGGGUUGAGAGACCGACCAGCCAGAUUGGGACUGAGACACGGCCCAGACUCCUACGGGAGGCAGCAGUGGGGAAUCUUGCACAAUGGGCGAAAGCCUGAUGCAGCGACGCCGCGUGCGGGAUGAAGGCCUUCGGGUUGUAAACCGCUUUCAGCAGGGACGAGGCGAAAGUGACGGUACCUGCAGAAGAAGCCCCGGCUAACUACGUGCCAGCAGCCGCGGUAAUACGUAGGGGGCAAGCGUUAUCCGGAUUCAUUGGGCGUAAAGCGCUCGUGGGCGGUCUGUUAGGUCGGGAGUUAAAUCCGGGGGCUCAACCCCCGUUCGCUCCCGAUACCGGCAGACUUGAGUUUGGUAGGGGAAGGUGGAAUUCCUAGUGUAGCGGUGGAAUGCGCAGAUAUUAGGAAGAACACCAGUGGCGAAGGCGGCCUUCUGGGCCAUAACUGACGCUGAGGAGCGAAAGCUAGGGGAGCAAACAGG
rnacentral:rRNA from 1 species